GUUUUAAAGAGUUUGAUCAUAGCUCAGGAUGAACGCUGGCGGUGCGCCUAACACAUGCAAGUCGAACGCGAACCAUAUAGAUUAUUUUGAAGGGCUUGCCUGGAUGAAUAUGAAAUUUCCGGUUUGAGUGGCGAACGAGAGAGUAAUGUAUUGGUAUCUCCCCCCAAGUCAGGGAUAGCCCAUCGAAAGAUGGAUUAAUACCGGAUAGUCCCGCAAGGGUAAAGCAGCAAUGCGCUCGGGGAAGAGCCUGU
rnacentral:rRNA from 1 species